UCCGUUGGCUCGGCUCGAGACACUGCUGGUCCGUUGGCUGCAUCGCUCCUCGGAGAUCCCGUCUAAAGGUCGGUUCCAUCGCUCCUUAUUGCAAUCUUCUCUAUUCAAGCUCUCCUUAAAGGCAUCGUGCCUUCUCUAGACGCGACAGCUGGGCAAAAGAGGCCUUUAAUGUGUUUUUCGGGCCCUUCGUAGCGGCUGGCGUUUCGGGCCCUUCAGCCCAUGGCCCAUAACCACUAGCGGGGUAUGGCUGACACGAAGGUGCCCGGCGCGGGAUUACCGCCCGGAAAUCGCGAUUACACAUCGUCCACAGGGGGCCGGGACUCCUGUGGCGGUGGGCCGCGCGCCAGCAGCUGCCUCUGGCGGGUUGCAGGGCGCGGCGGUGACUAAUUCGGAGCGCGGCUUGGUCGAUGCCGCGCUCACUGCUGCCUACCACCGCGCGGUGGGAUUUCAACAGGAAAUCACAGACGUCCUCUUUGACUCUAAUUUUAAUGUGACUAACUGCCACAGGUCGCACAUCCUGGGCCUGCUGAGGCAGUUGAUGCAAGAAUACGCCGAUAUGCGAGCAGUGGUGGUGCGGCAGUGCGGCCGCGCUGACGAGCUCAGCGACCAGCUGGAACGGAUGCGUCCUGCGCGCCCUGUGAUGCGCCCGGAGCCGCCUGCCUGGUGACACCGGGGCUGAUUUAUGCGGUGGUUGCCCGGACCGGUGCACUGACUAGUGCUCUGGCGACCGAUGAAGGCACGUGAGGCCUCGUUCGUGUGGGUCCGGCGACUACAGCGACGAUCGUUUCUGGGAUGGUUACAUCGGAAUCCCCAGCAAACAACCACAUGCGCAGAUAAUGGCAUCGGCUCCACCUGCCUGGCCAUCUUUCUUGGACGCCUGGGGUGAUCUUGAGCUUUGCUGACAUCAACUGCAUACCUUUGGCUUACCCGAGCCCAAGGCAUCGGAUCCACCAGCCUGGCCACUUAAUGACGCCUGGUGUUACAGUCUUGCUGCAUCAACUGCCUACCACUCGGUGUCAUCAACAUCACCACAGCAUGAACCUUAAGUUUCAAAGAGAACUCUACGUCUCUGACUUGACUGAGGUGCAGCCCAGGCCAUUGGCUUCACCUGCUAGGCCUCCUAAUCCCGACGCCUAGUGCGGCCGUCUUGCUGGGUCAGGCUAGGACCAACUGGCUACCCCUGGCCGACUCCGAGGAGCAACCGCUAAGACCUGCAGAAUCUACGACCAGCCAUGUAGGCUGCACUGGCCUACCAUUGGACAGGCAUACGGAAGAUCACUUUGCCCACUCGACAUGCUGUAAAUCAAUAAAAUUCGCCCGUGCUGCGGAUGGCAGCCGGA